UACGUAGGAUGCUAGCGUUGUCCGGAUUUACUGGGCGUAAAGCGCGCGCAGGCGGCACUGUAAGUAAGGUGUGAAAUCUCCCUGCUCAACGGGGAGGGUGCACUUUAGACUGCAGAGCUAGAGGACGGUAGAGGGGGGUGGAAUUGCUGGUGUAGCGGUGAAAUGCGUAGAGAUCAGCAGGAACACCCGUGGCGAAGGCGGCCCCCUGGGCCGAACCUGACGCUGAGGCGCGAAAGCCAGGGGAGCAAACGGG
rnacentral:rRNA from 1 species